GAUUUCAUGGAUAUUGUUUUGUUUUAAAGUUUUUUUAAAUAUCUAUGGGGAGUAAUACGCUUUCGUUUCUUAGGGUAUCUAGUUUGGUUUUUUAAAGGGGAAACCUUUUUAAGUUUUUUAAUACUAAAAGUUUUAUGUUUUCUUUAAUAGUAAGUAAUUGUGUAAUAACCUAUUUGUUUUAAUAUGAUCUAAAAAAAUUCUUUUUGUUUUAUUAUGUAAAAUAUUAAUUAAUGGAUUAGUAGAUUUAGAUUUUUUUAAGUUAAUUUUUGUUAAUAUUAAAAAUUUGAAAUUGUUUUUAUUUACUGAUUUUUUCUUAGACUGGUUAAUAAAAUCUUAGCUACAAAAUUUGUAGUUAUUUCUGCUCUAUGCAAGAAAGUAAAUGGCUGUUUGUAAACACUAAGGUAGCAAAAUCAUUAGCUGCUUAAUUGGUAGCUUGUAUGAAUGAAUUUUCUAAGAAGAUAUUAGUCUUUUUCUUGAAUUUAUAUGUUUGUUGAAAAUAACAAUUUUUCCCAUAAGACUAAAAGACCCUAAAAUUUUUAUAACCAAAGUACUGGUUAUUUAGUUGGGGCAACGAUAAAAGAUCAAUAUUAAGUGAUUUAUUUUUCUUUGAACUUUUUUUGUUGAUAAAAGGUAAAAUACUUUAGGGAUAACAGCUUAAUUAUUUUUAAAAGUUCUUAUUAUUAGAAUAGAUUUAGACCUCGAUGUUGGAUUGGGGAGGCUUUUUGGGGCAG
rnacentral:rRNA from 1 species